AGUGAACGCUGGCGGUAGGCCUAACACAUGCAAGUCGAACGGCAGCACAGUAAUAGCUUGCUCUUACGGGUGGCGAGUGGCGGAUGGGUGAGGAAUACAUCGGAAUCUACUUUUGCGUGGGGGAUAACGUAGGGAAACUUACGCUAAUACCGCAUACGACCUACGGGUGAAAGCAGGGGAUCUUCGGACCUUGCGCGAUUGAAUGAGCCGAUGUCGGAUUAGCUAGUUGGCGGGGUAAAAGCCCACCAAGGCGAAGAUGCGUAGCUGGUCUGAGAGGAGGAUGCGCCACUCUGGGACUGAGCCACGGUCCAGACUCCUACGGGAGGCACCAGUGGGGAAUAUUGGAAAAUGGGCGGAAGACUGAUCCAGCCAUACAGCGUGGGUGCAGCAGGCCUUCGGGUUGUAAAGCCCUUUUGUUGGGAAAGAAAAGUAGCAGGUUAAUACCCCGCUGUUGUGACGGUACCCAAAGAAUAAGCACCGGCUAACUUCGUG
rnacentral:rRNA from 1 species